rnacentral:rRNA from 1 species
GAUGAACGCUGGCGGCGUGCCUAACACAUGCAAGUCGAACGAAGAUGCGUGUUUGAUCCCUUCGGGGUGACGAUGCGCAGACUUAGUGGCGGACGGGUGAGUAAUGUAUGAGCAACCUGCCUUCAAGAGGGGAAUAACAGUCGGAAACGACUGCUAAUACCGCAUAACAAAGCGUGAUCGCAUGAUCGUGUUUUCAAAGGAGCAAUCCGCUUGAAGAUGGGCUCAUAUCUGAUUAGAUAGUUGGUGAGGUAACGGCUCACCAAGUCUGCGAUCAGUAGCCGGACUGAGAGGUUGAACGGCCACAUUGGAACUGAGAUACGGUCCAGACUCCUACGGGAGGCAGCAGUGGGGAAUAUUGGGCAAUGGGCGAAAGGCCUGGACCCAGCAACGCCGCGUGAAGGAAGAAGGUCUUCGGAUUGAAACUUUGUCUUAUGGGACGAUAAUGACGGUACCAUUAGGAGGAAGCCACGACUAACUACGUG